rnacentral:rRNA from 1 species
GAUGAACGCUGGCGGCGUGCCUAAUACAUGCAAGUCGAGCGAACGGACGAGAAGCUUGCUCCUCUGAUGUUAGCGGCGGACGGGUGAGUAACACGUGGAUAACCUACCUAUAAGACUGGGAUAACUUCGGGAAACCGGAGCUAAUACCGGAUGAUAUUUUGAACCGCAUGGUUCAAAAGUGAAAGACGGUCUUGCUGUCACUUAUAGAUGGAUCCGCGCUGCAUUAGCUAGUUGGUAAGGUAACGGCUUACCAAGGCAACGAUGCGUAGCCGACCUGAGAGGGUGAUCGGCCACACUGGAACUGAGACACGGUCCAGACUCCUACGGGAGGCAGCAGUAGGGAAUCUUCCGCAAUGGGCGAAAGCCUGACGGAGCAACGCCGCGUGAGUGAUGAAGGUCUUCGGAUCGUAAAACUCUGUUAUUAGGGAAGAACAAAUGUGUAAGUAACUGUGCACAUCUUGACGGUACCUAAUCAGAAAGCCACGGCUAACUACGUG